UCCCGCCCCGCCCCGCCCCGACCCGCCCCAAGCCCCGCCCCGACCCCGCCUGCCCCUGGCCCCGCCCCGGAGCCCGGGCUCCACCCCGCCCCUAGCCCCGCCCCGCCCCGCCCCGAUCUCGGUCCCAGCCCCACCCCAACCCCUCAUCCCGAACUCUCCCAGACCCCGGACCCUGAACCCGUCCCGUCUCCGCUCCGUACCCGGACCCUGGACCCCCUCAGACCCCGGACCCCGGACCCGCUCAGAGCCUCCCAGACCCCGGUCCCAGAACUAACCUGACUUCUGACCCCGGCCCCGCUCCGCCCUUCUCGGUCCGGGCUCCGCCCCAGCCCCGACUUCAGCCCCGCCCCGACGCCGGGACCGGGGCCCGACCCGCCUACCUGGGUCCGGGCUCCGUCCCGACCCCCGGCCGGCACCAGGGGGCGGCACUUGGGCUCAGCCAAAUCCCUACCCCGCAUCGUCCCACCGCCCCGCACCUUCCGGCCUUUCCCUGAGAGUUGGGUGAGGGGGCCUUGGGGUCAGUCAGGUGACUGGCCACGCACUUAGGAUCCAAUCACUUGCCGUGGGCCGUUAGGCCUCGCUGCAAACCCCGCUCUAGUGAGGAUGGGCGGGACCCAGGAGUUCCGGAAUGCGGAGGGCCGGGGCUGAAGGGCGCAGCGAGGCCUCACAAGGUCGCGGGAGACCUGUUUGCCACCCCCUCGGGGCAGAACCAGAGGGAGUGGGUUAGGAGGGUGCGCCGUCUGGGCGCCAUCACUUCCUGGUUGGGGAUCCCGUCCAGUUGGUUAACGUCCUUCAACCUGUUUCCCUGGUGGCACACUGGACUGAGACGACAUCCACCCCAAGGCGCUUUUGUGACGAUUAAUUGACAUAAUGUACACGAGGUUCUUGGCACAGAUGACACGGAAUAGGAGAUAGGGUGUUUAUGGGGUUUAGUUUUCGUUUCUGAAUGAUUAUUUAAACCGCUUCCUGAGAGAGGUUUUGCUUAGCGUUUAUAGGAGCAGCGAGGUGAUUGCAUGAAGGAGUCUGUCUCCAGUGAGGAGAGCUGGACUCCGCUGGCACUGGGAACGGUGGGGCCCGCCCAGGAGGCAGGAGGAUGGGAAGAGGGUCUCUUCCCAGCCACGGAGCAGACGACUUCUAAUCCGACGGAGGUGUCACACAUUAUGGGCACAACUACGAAGACGUGGUUUUCUGAGAGGCACUCUCAAAGACUGGACGGUUAACGUGUCUUGACCUGUGCCAGGCGCGUGAUUUAAUCUCACUUAGUCCUGGCCAGAACCUUGGGAGGUUUGAGCCUAGGAUUGUUUGAGGUGUGGAAGAGCCUGGGCUUCUGACCCCCCGUGACAUGACUUCUUGAAGGCAAACGUGGACCCAGCACUCACAAGCACAGACCCAGCUGUGGACCCAGGCAGCGCCUUGAAGACGUGACAAACGCAUCAAAGACACAGAGACACAUACCCGGCAGACGUCAGACACAGGGAACGCCACACACACACACUCGCACACACACGUAGUCCUUAGCUCACACACACUCUCUCUCUCUCUCUCUCUCUCUCUCUCUCUCCUGUGUACAAAUCCCAGCUCGGUGGAGCUAAGGGUCACACAGAGGAAUGUCCUAUGAUCUAUGUGUGUUUAUAAGGCCGUGACCAUACCGCCUGAUGAGCCAUAUUUUCCCACCCUCCAAAAAGGGAAACCUCUCUCUGCCGACUUGCUGGAGAGGCUCAGGCAAAGAGACAAGACAGAGCUAGAGCCAAAACGCCCCUUCGCCCCAGCUCGCACCGAAACGAGAGGCUUCCACGCCGGGACCCAGGUGCACACCCGCAAAACCGGAGUCAUCUCCCGCACCCACACACAUGCCUACUGGACCCUCUCCCUCCUUCCUCCCCAGCCAGGCACCCCACCCUCAUGAGGGACUCCUGCACUAGCCUGUGUGUGUGUGUCUGUUCUCUGAACCUUCCUCUUGUCCUGGCUGAGCCCACACUCCUUCCCCAGCUCUCAAACCCUAUGCCAAAGGUGUAGACAGCUGUUCAAGAACAGAGGGGCCCCAGUGCCACUGCUGGCCUCAGCAUGACCUGGCCCUGGCUCCCAGGGAGGCCCUGCCAUUUCUAUACCCAGGAUUAGCGCCAGCUGCCACCCACUCCCGAAUGCCAAGUAUGGAUCCCGUUGAGCUGGAAUCCCCUCGCCCGCCCUCCCUGGCUCCCCAGUCCGGGAGUGCUGGUUGCCUGGGCUCCUCCCCCUCCCCGGAGGCUCCCCAACUCCCUCUCCCCCUCGCCCAGCCAGCUGAUGGCGCAGACAUCCCGGUGGAGGGUAGCCCAGAGCUGAGGCAGCCCCCGCAAUGUGUCGCUCGUUCCCCAGCCCAGCAGCCCGCGGGUGGGGCAGUGGGGAGCGGAUCAAGGGCAGAAGAAGGCAGCGGUUUGCUAGACAGAGAUUUGUGGGCUGCGUCUUCUAGAAGAGCCUCAGGGGACAGGAGGUGGUGAGCGCCAGGUGGCUGCCUCUGAGUCAUUGAGGUUGAGCAAGGGACAGAUUUGGAGAACAGGUCAUUGAUGAGUUUGUGCACACCCAGCUCUGAGCAAGAUGGGGAGGAGGCAGCAGUUGUUGCUAGUACUUCCCGUGCACCUGCUUUGUGCGGGGCUCCCCGCUAAGCACCCUGCGCUCACUCAGUCUUCCGGUCAGUCCUCCCAGCACCCCGCAGGGCGAGCGCUCUCGUGGCCUGUUUUGCAGAUGGGAGAGGAGGCCCCGAGAGGUUAUGUAAGUGACCCAAGGUCACCUAGCUACAUGGCAGCACUGAGAUCCAACUGUAAGCUUUUUGACUCUGGAACAUUCUUCUCCCUCCUGCUUCCCUAACCUGCACACUUAUUCAUAUUACACACAAGCAUCAGUGCAUACGUAUUGUAUAGGCACGCCUCUACAACCUUUUGAAAUAGCUUUUCGGGGCGCCUGGGGGGGCUGCGUCGGUUAAGCGUCCGACUUCAACUCAGGUCAUGAUCUAAUGGUUUGUGAGUUCGAGCCCCGUGUCGGGCUCUGUGCCGACAGCUCGGAGCCUGGAGCCUGCUUGGGAUUCUGUGUCUCCCUCUCUCUCUGCCCCUCCCCCCGCUUGCGCUCGCUCUC